UGGCGCCCGAACAGGGACCUGGAAACCCGUGAGGAAGAGGACGCCAAAGGACGGUCGACCGCUAACGAAGACAAAAGGAGUCAAACUCUUCCGAUCACCGCGGGAACCUGCCGCGGCAGAAUCGAAGGUAAGUGACGCGUCCGAAAUGGGACAAGAAUUAAGCCAACAUCAAAUAUAUGUAGGACAAUUAAAAGAGGCUUUAAAGAUA
rfam:Macaca mulatta chromosome 3, whole genome shotgun sequence.